rnacentral:rRNA from 1 species
CUACGAGUGGCAGCAGUGGGGAAUAUUGGACAAUGGGGGAAACCCUGACCCAGCAAUGCCGCGUGUGUGAAGAAGGCCUGCGGGUUGUAAAGCACUUUCGGUUGGGAGGACUGCUUCUAGCACUAAUAUUGUUGGAAGUUGACGUUACCUUCAGAAGAAGCACCGGCUAACUCCGUGCCAGCAGCCGCGGUAAUACGAAGGGUGCAAGCGUUAAUCGGAAUUACUGGGCGUAAAGCGCGCGUAGGCGGCUAGAUCAGUCGGGUGUGAAAGCCCCGGGCUUAACCUGGGAACUGCAUCCGAUACUGUCUAGCUUGAGUACAGGAGAGGAGAGUGGAAUUCCACAUGUAGCGGUGAAAUGCGUAGAUAUGUGGAGGAACACCAAUGGCGAAGGCAGCUCUCUGGCCUGAUACUGACGCUGAGGUACGAAAGCGUGGGGAGCAAACAGGAUUAGAUACCCCAGUAGUC